UAAUAAGCGAAGAAAAGGACACGAGUUAUUUUAAACGGUUGUACAGAGAGGGAAGGAAAGCUGAGAACUUCCUAACGCAGAGAAAUAACUUACCACCUUAGAGCUGCAUUGGGGAAAAUAAAAGUAUCUAGUGCCGUGUAAGCGACGUUACCGUAAAAGAAGCCAUUGUAUUUUUAUGAUGGGAAUCUGGGUGGAACCACGGGUAAAAGCACACUCGUCCCUAUU
rnacentral:ncRNA from 1 species